CUAUUUUGCCAAUUAGUCCACCAAAUUCCUGUCCAGUAACACCGACCCCAAAUGAAGCAGUAAAACAGCCAGAAUUUAGACAGAAUUUUCUCACAGAUGCACCAGAGUUGGAACAUUAUCUGAGACAAACCAAUCCUCUACAAGGGAAAGAGAUAAAGCGGA